GACGAACGCUGGCGGCGUGCUUAACACAUGCUAGUCGAACGGAAAGGCCCUGCUUUUGUGGGGUGCUCGAGUGGCGAACGGGUGAGUAACACGUGAGUAACCUGCCCUUGACUUUGGGAUAACUUCAGGAAACUGGGGCUAAUACCGGAUAGGAGCUCCUGCUGCAUGGUGGGGGUUGGAAAGUUUCGGCGGUUGGGGAUGGACUCGCGGCUUAUCAGCUUGUUGGUGGGGUAAUGGCUCACCAAGGCUUUGACGGGUAGCCGGCCUGAGAGGGUGACCGGCCACAUUGGGACUGAGAUACGGCCCAGACUCCUACGGGAGGCAGCAGUGGGGAAUAUUGCACAAUGGGCGGAAGCCUGAUGCAGCAACGCCGCGUGCGGGAUGACGGCCUUCGGGUUGUAAACCGCUUUCGCCUGUGACGAAGCGUGAGUGACGGUAAUGGGUAAAGAAGCACCGGCUAACUACGUG
rnacentral:rRNA from 1 species